rnacentral:rRNA from 1 species
UACAGAGGUCCCAAGCGUUGUUCGGAUUCAUUGGGCGUAAAGGGUGCGUAGGUGGCGCCGUAAGUCGGGUGUGAAAUUUCGGAGCUUAACUCCGAAACUGCAUUCGAUACUGCGGUGCUUGAGGACUGGAGAGGAGACUGGAAUUCAUGGUGUAGCAGUGAAAUGCGUAGAGAUCAUGAGGAAGACCAGUGGCGAAGGCGGGUCUCUGGGCCGAAAUUGACGCUGAGGAGCGAAAGCGUGGGGAGCAAACAGG